AUGAUUAAGAUAGACCUUGCUAAAGCCUUUGAUCGUCUCGAAUGGAAUUUCAUUGUGGCAGCACUCUCACGUAAGGGCCUGCAUGGUCAUUUCAUCAAUCUUAUCCAUGCUUGUAUUUCAUCGCCCACCUUCUCUGUUGUCAUUAAUGGUCAGCCUUUUGCGAGGUUUCGUAGCGGCAGAGGUAUACGGCAAGGUUGUCCCCUCUCUCCCUAUCUUUUUGUCCUUGCUAUUAAUGAAUUGUCGCUAGUGCUGCAGGAUGCUAUGUCCAAUAGCUUACUAGAAGGGGUCAUCCUAGGACCAGAUUGCCCUCCCAUUCACUCGCUGCUUUUUGCUGAUGAUCUCCUCAUCUGUGGUAAAGCAUCAAUCCAGGAGGCCAUGACCAUGAAGAAAAUCCUUGAUUCCUUUUGUUCUGCUUCAGGUCAGACCCCGAAUUGGAAUAAAUCGGGUAUCAUCUUUAGUAGACAUGUGGAUAACAAUAAUAUGGAAGCCAUCAAGAGAGUUUUUCCUGUCCAGCACAUAGAUGAUUCCUUUGUUCACUUGGGGCACCCUCUUAUUCUCCCGGCAAAAAACAGAUCCUCGGCUUAUAACUUUGUUCUAGAUAAAUUUAAGUCCAAGCUUAGCACUUAUAAAGCUGAUAAACUUUGA
rnacentral:rRNA from 1 species